rfam:Camelus ferus unplaced genomic scaffold scaffold726, whole genome shotgun sequence.
GAGGGGAUAGCUCAAAUAGUCAAGCACAUGCUUAGCAUGCAUGAGGUCCUGGGUUCAAUCUCCAGUACCUCUU